ACAUUAAAUUAUCGCCUUUUUAAGGAACUUUUCGGAUUCGAAAAGUAUUUAGACAUUUUGGAACCCCGAGAUAUUUAUACUUUAUGUCAAUUUAGACUCAUUAACCACAGAUUACCUAUAGAAAGUGGAAGAUGGAAAAAAAUUCAGAGAGAUAAAAGAAUAUGCGAACUAUGUGACUUAAAAGAUCUUGGAGAUGAAUUCCACUAUGUAAUGAAGUGUAAAUUUAUGUCUAUAGAAAGACAAAAGUAUAUCGCUAAAAAGUAUAUUGAUUAUCCAAAUAUAAACAAAUUUAAGGAAGUAAUGAAUAUGGCAAAACAAUCAUAUUUAAAAAAGCUAUGUACAUUUAUAAGGCAUAUUAAUUCAUGUGUGUGUUCUCCUGGCUAAAUUCAACUUAUAUUUGUAAGGGAGCUACCAUUUGAUUUUUAUGGGGGGGGGCUAGGAUGAAAAAUUUUGUCCUGCUUUUUUUUUUAGUUGUAAUCUCUGUCCUGCCUUUUUAUUUUUUACUCUAUUCGGUCCUGCCUUUUUUUUCUCCUAGUUAUCCUGACUUUUUUACACAAAUUGUCAUCCUGCCUUUUUUUUUUACCAAGUUGCCCAUCCUGCCUUUUUUUUUUACUCAAAACUCCUGUCCUGCCUAUUUUUUUCAAAUUUCAUCCUAGCCCCCCCAUAAAAAUCAAAUGGUAGCUCCC
rnacentral:lncRNA from 1 species